GAUGAACGCUGGCGGCGUGCCUAAUACAUGCAAGUCGAGCGAACGGACGAGAAGCUUGCUUCUCUGAUGUUAGCGGCGGACGGGUGAGUAACACGUGGAUAACCUACCUAUAAGACUGGGAUAACUUCGGGAAACCGGAGCUAAUACCGGAUAAUAUUUUGAACCGCAUGGUUCAAAAGUGAAAGACGGUCUUGCUGUCACUUAUAGAUGGAUCCGCGCUGCAUUAGCUAGUUGGUAAGGUAACGGCUUACCAAGGCAACGAUGCAUAGCCGACCUGAGAGGGUGAUCGGCCACACUGGAACUGAGACACGGUCCAGACUCCUACGGGAGGCAGCAGUAGGGAAUCUUCCGCAAUGGGCGAAAGCCUGACGGAGCAACGCCGCGUGAGUGAUGAAGGUCUUCGGAUCGUAAAACUCUGUUAUUAGGGAAGAACAUAUGUGUAAGUAACUGUGCACAUCUUGACGGUACCUAAUCAGAAAGCCACGGCUAACUACGUGCCAGCAGCCGCGGUAAUACGUAGGUGGCAAGCGUUAUCCGGAAUUAUUGGGCGUAAAGCGCGCGUAGGCGGUUUUUUAAGUCUGAUGUGAAAGCCCACGGCUCAACCGUGGAGGGUCAUUGGAAACUGGAAAACUUGAGUGCAGAAGAGGAAAGUGGAAUUCCAUGUGUAGCGGUGAAAUGCGCAGAGAUAUGGAGGAACACCAGUGGCGAAGGCGACUUUCUGGUCUGUAACUGACGCUGAUGUGCGAAAGCGUGGGGAUCAAACAGGAUUAGAUACCCUGGUAGUCCACGCCGUAAACGAUGAGUGCUAAGUGUUAGGGGGUUUCCGCCCCUUAGUGCUGCAGCUAACGCAUUAAGCACUCCGCCUGGGGAGUACGACCGCAAGGUUGAAACUCAAAGGAAUUGACGGGGACCCGCACAAGCGGUGGAGCAUGUGGUUUAAUUCGAAGCAACGCGAAGAACCUUACCAAAUCUUGACAUCCUUUGACAACUCUAGAGAUAGAGCCUUCCCCCUCGGGGGACAAAGUGACAGGUGGUGCAUGGUUGUCGUCAGCUCGUGUCGUGAGAUGUUGGGUUAAGUCCCGCAACGAGCGCAACCCUUAAGCUUAGUUGCCAUCAUUAAGUUGGGCACUCUAAGUUGACUGCCGGUGACAAACCGGAGGAAGGUGGGGAUGACGUCAAAUCAUCAUGCCCCUUAUGAUUUGGGCUACACACGUGCUACAAUGGACAAUACAAAGGGCAGCGAAACCGCGAGGUCAAGCAAAUCCCAUAAAGUUGUUCUCAGUUCGGAUUGUAGUCUGCAACUCGACUACAUGAAGCUGGAAUCGCUAGUAAUCGUAGAUCAGCAUGCUACGGUGAAUACGUUCCCGGGUCU
rnacentral:rRNA from 1 species